rnacentral:tRNA from 2 species
UCCGGUAUGGUGUAGUGGCUAACAUUUCGCGCUCUCAUAACCUGAGGGAUUCGUUCCGCGGAGCCCAGGGUUCGAUUCCCUGUACCGGAG